AGACGGCUCGGAAAUUCCUGUUUGUGAUGUGUGUAUGUGUCUCUUAGACCUUUUGAAAGGAAGAAAAAAUCAUGAAAGCAAAGUUUUUCGGACUGAUGUGCAAUGUAUAAGUGUACGAAAUGGAAUACAAACGGGAGAAUGGUUUCCUGGUGAUUAAAGGUUGGAAAUGCGUUACCGCCCCAAAAAUGAAAAUGACUAAUCUUGAAGAAACUACUCGUAGCAUGUUUACAUGUGUGACAUUUUCUGCUGUAAAUACUCUUCUUAGUUUUUCCUUAAAAACCAAUAAAGUAUUUUUUUCAUGAAA